rnacentral:ncRNA from 1 species
AAAGCGUAAGUUGGAAUGGCCUAUCCGCCGAAUGAGAUUAAAAAAGAUUAAGCGGAAGAAAAGAAAAUAAAUAAUGAUUCCUUUAGUAAUGUCGAAUGAAAAAGGAAAAGCUCAAGAGGAAAAUCCUGUGAAUAGAUGUUUUCCAGUUAAUUCCAGGAAUUGUCUUGUUUAUAUGAUAUUUUUCCAUAGUAACUAAAUUUUUUUUCCGAAAAAAAAAAUUCUUAGUCCUUAACCAAAAUAAAAACUGAAUAUGUUUUACCACAGAGGGUGAGAGUCCCGUAGGUUAUUACUAAGGCAUGACAUAGUAACUUGGAAUUUUAUCUUUAGAGUCGUGUUUAUUCAUAUUUCAACACAAAAAUGUAUGACUGUUUUCAUAUAAAGCUAAAUAUUUAUAGGAGACCGAUAGCAAACAAGUACCGUGAGGGAAAGAAUAAAUGACACUCAGGAAUGAGAGUUAAACUGUACCUGAAAUCGUUAGCAGUGAAAAAUGGAUUAGAUAAGAAAAAAUAGCAUUAAAGAUGGAUGUCUUUUUUGUUAUGAAGGACAUCAGUGAAAAAAGAUUAAUCAGGCAAAGCAUAUUUUUCAGGGCAUAAAAACUUUAGUGUUUUCUUGCUUCUCUGUUUUGUGAUCGAUUUAACUAUCGAGUUUCAAAACAUGGCUUUGUAAUUUUAAAUUAAAAAAAAAAUGAUUAUAUCUUAUUUACUGAGGAAUGUGAAAAAGAGGGAAAAAAUGAAAGCUUUUUCUUUCCAGCUGGAUUUUUUUUUUUCUUUUGAGAUGUCCUGAAAAAGUACUUCUCUAACCCUGACGUAUUGAAAAACAUACGAACCAAGGAAUCUAACAACUGGGCAAGCGUAAAUGGAAAUAAUUUUAUAUACUAAUCAUUUUGAGAGCGCAUUGGUUUGAUAAUCAAACUGUGGGAAGUCUCUAAUGUCUUCUAUUGUAGAUUACAAGGGGGGAAGGUCAUUAGGAGAAAUAUUAUAUUCUUCCUUUUGUCCAUGUAAAAAAAAAAAAAUUUACCUCUCCACGUUGCAUACAAAAUUUGGGAAAAAAACUAUAUAAAAAUAAAGCAGAAAAGUUACACGCUCUAGUGGGGUAUAAAUGGUGCACUUACGUUAUAUAUGUAAAGUAUGUAUUGUAGGGGUAUCUCCUCAUUUGGGUUUAUGAGAAGGGUUAUUUAUAAUGGUUUCUAUCAUAAGAUAGGAGAAGUGUAAUUGAUUAUGCGGUCUUCAUUUUUAUGCUUGUUUUUCCGAAUUAGAGCCUAUUUGUUAGGACCCGAAAGGCUUUGUACCUAAGCAUGCUUGUGUAUAUAAUGCAUAGUAAUGUUUUAGGGAUGUAUUAAUUUCGUAUAAUACAUGAAAAGUCGAAUAACUGGUUAUUUUCGAAAUAUCAUCUCGUGAUCGCUGAAGUUGUGGAUAGUAUACACCUCUGUGAUACUUUAUAAUUUUUUUGUCUUAGUGCUUAACUUUUGAUGAUUUAAGGAAAUGGACAUUGUAGAGUUUGCCGUUUAACCAGAGGCAGGGAUUUAGGGUUUGGAUUUAAGCGUUAUGCUUUCUUUUAGACUCUUUAUCUUAAGGUGGUGGUUUUAACUCUCUUUGUUGAAUCAUCAAAUUGCACAUAAAAAAAAAAAAUAUAAGUACAAAAAGAAGUAAAGUGAAAAAUAUGAGAAGUGUGAUUUUUAAAUUGCGGAGAAGUGUUUUCUUUUUUGAGACGCUUUUGGGAUGCACCUUAUAAUUAGUCUUUGUGAAAAUUUUAUUUUUCACCAUUUCUUGUAUUAUAUUUACUUUUAUGAAAUAAGAUAGCUUCAAGUGUGCUAUUUUUCUUUUUUUAAAAAAAGAAACUAGCAAUGAGGGAUGUACCCUAGAGCUUGGAUAAGGUGCCUAAAUAUUUGCUCUUAAACAUAUCUAUGAAAAAAUAUGUGGGAAUAUUUUACGUUGACAGUAGGAUGGUAAUCUUUUAUAGUAGGUAUCCACUAAGGAAUGUGUACAAACUCACCUGCUUAGUAAUUAUUCUUCUUAUUACGGAUAUAGCGUUACAGUGAAUUACCGAUACCGAGCCAUAAAAGGAUCUUUUUAUAGAAUCUUUUUAUGUGUAGAAAAUCGUGGGAUAUGUGCAGAAGCGUUAGACGUGAGUUGGCGUGGAACAUUUUCCUAGUGCAGAUCUUGGUGAUAAGUAGU